GGGCUUGUACCGGUUUCGACGGGGACGAUGCAGCUUUAGAAGCUAUCCGAAAGACAGUAGCGUUAAACUUCAAACCUAAAUAUAAACGCUAACGAUAAUUUAGCAUACGCAGCCUAAGCGCUGCGAGUCAGCCUUAAGGCACUCACACUUUAAGAAUCUGGCUUCGACUAUGUGAGAAACGACGGAUCCAGUUCCUCCUGGCUCCGGGCGUAUCAGAGGAUACCGGUCGGUAAAAGACGUGCGCAUCUUUUAUCGGUGGGGAAGCUUCAAAGCGUACUAUGAUAGUAGAAGGAAAGGGAAUUUGUUUUCGGACAUGGGUUCGACUCCCAUCAGGUCCA
rnacentral:tmRNA from 1 species